rnacentral:rRNA from 3 species
CUUGAGCUUUAUAAGAGGUCCAGCCUGCCCAGUGACUCUGUUCAACGGCCGCGGUAUCCUAACCGUGCGAAGGUAGCGUAAUCACUUGUUCUUUAAAUGCGGACUAGUAUGAAUGGCACUACGAGGGUUAUACUGUCUCCUUUUUCUAAUCAGUGAAACUAAUUUUCCCGUGAAGAAGCGGGGAUAUAACUAUAAGACGAGAAGACCCUAUGGAGCUUUAAACAACCCAGCAAUUACUUCUAAAAUUAUAAAUUUCAGAAUAUCCACUUUUUAAGUUAUAUGUCUGCAAGUUUUUGGUUGGGGUGACCAUGGAGUAUAACAUAACCUCCAUAUUGAAUGAAUUCCCUUCUAAGCUAAAAAUUACCAAUUGAAGCAUCAACAUACUGACAUCUAUUGACCCA